UUAUCUUUGAUUCUUCGGAUGAAGAGGUUUGUGACUGAGUGGCGGACGGGUGAGUAACGCGUGGGUAACCUGCCUCAUACAGGGGGAUAACAGUUAGAAAUGACUGCUAAUACCGCAUAAGACCACAGAGCCGCAUGGCUCAGUGGGAAAAACUCCGGUGGUAUGAGAUGGACCCGCGUCUGAUUAGGUAGUUGGUGGGGUAACGGCCUACCAAGCCAACGAUCAGUAGCCGACCUGAGAGGGUGACCGGCCACAUUGGGACUGAGACACGGCCCAAACUCCUACGGGAGGCAGCAGUGGGGAAUAUUGCACAAUGGGGGAAACCCUGAUGCAGCGACGCCGCGUGAGCGAAGAAGUAUUUCGGUAUGUAAAGCUCUAUCAGCAGGGAAGAAAAUGACGGUACCUGACUAAGAAGCACCGGCUAAAUACGUGCCAGCAGCCGCGGUAAUACGUAUGGUGCAAGCGUUAUCCGGAUUUACUGGGUGUAAAGGGAGCGUAGACGGCUGUGUAAGUCUGAAGUGAAAGCCCGGGGCUCAACCCCGGGACUGCUUUGGAAACUAUGCAGCUAGAGUGUCGGAGAGGUAAGUGGAAUUCCCAGUGUAGCGGUGAAAUGCGUAGAUAUUGGGAGGAACGCCAGUGGCGAAGGCGGCUUACUGGACGAUGACUGACGUUGAGGCUCGAAAGCGUGGGGAGCAAACAGGAUUAGAUACCCUGGUAGUCCACGCUGUAAACGAUGACUACUAGGUGUCGGG
rnacentral:rRNA from 1 species